rnacentral:rRNA from 1 species
UGCGCAGGCGGCGCUUUAAGUCAGAUGUGAAAUACCCGGGCUUAACCUGGGGGGUGCAUUUGAAACUGGAGCACUUGAGUGCAGGAGAGGUAAGUGGAAUCCCUAGUGUAGCGGUGAAAUGCGUAGAUAUUAGGAGGAACACCAGUGGCGAAGGCGACUUACUGGACUGUAACUGACGCUGAGGCACGAAAGCGUGGGGAGCAAACAGGAUUAGAUACCCUGGUAGUCCACGCUGUAAACGAUGGAUACUAGGUGUAGGGGGCGAUAGUCCUCUGUGCCGCAGCUAACGCAAUAAGUAUCCCGCCUGGGGAGUACGAUCGCAAGGUUGAA